rnacentral:tRNA from 1 species
GGUUUUAUAUUCAUUUAAUGAUUUUAAAUUGCAAAUUUAAAGGUGUGAUUUCACUAAAACCU